rnacentral:lncRNA from 1 species
ACCCUAGAACCCCUAAUCUCUAAGAAUGGACAACAGCUUCAACAUACACACACAUAAACGUAGAAAGGAAGGGAACACUCAUCAUUCUCUGGCUCUAAGAAGCAGCCGCGCCCCUCAUCUCUUUGUGAAAAUGCCGGAAUCCGGCGAGUCAUCAGCCAUCGGCGAUGCUGCUCUAACACCUAGUGUCCCACCUUCUCUCCAAUCCACCUCUGCCAUAUCUUAACCUAAACUCGCCGGAAUUCCUCAACACCAGCGUUACACCACCAUCGUAACACCAUUAUCCUUCAAAAACAUUCACAAUAUUUGAUCAAGCAGUCACUCUUCUUAAUCACCAACCAAUUUUUCAUACCCUCAUCACCACUAAAAACUUCGAUAAAAAUAGAGUUUCGUCGCAUGGAGUUUGGUUGAAGUUUCUGUCGGACUUUUGAGGUCGUAUUCGGAUUUGUUUUCGAUUAGUGUUGGUAAUUUGAGAGUUUGAAGGCGAUAUUGUUGUUGAAGCUCUCCAGUUCGCGGUUUAAGAUCUGAUCCCUGUUUUCGUUCCUGGCAAGAUUUUAAAUGGAGUUUGUUGUUGCAUUUUAAUACCUUCAAAGUUGAUGUACCAGAAUCGGCGCUGUUCUUAUUAAGAGUGAAGACAACAUUCUGCUUGAGGUCUAAUUCUUCAGUUCUCUGCUCAAUUUAUCUUCUUUUAAACUUAUGUGUUGUUUGUGGUGAAAUUUUUGUUUGAUCCAUGUUAAUCAUAUGUUGGUUGGUUAAUUCUACUCAUAUCAAUUGGUUUUGAUUUACAUGAACUACUUGCUGUUGAACGAAAUCUAGCUAAAGGAAAGUUAGUCAAAUUAGGACUUAGGUCCAAAUUAAGACAAAUGGUCACGGUGAAUAAAUGGCAUUGGCAAAUUUGGGCUUAACAUGAUUUCACUGCAUUGUGUUUGUGCUUUAGUUACUUUGACUGCUAGGAGUAUGCUUAGGCUGGCCACAUUUGGGUAGACAAACCUUUAUGGCGUUCGUGUUUUAGUUUCUUUUAAGGUGAGAGGUCGCCUGCUUUAGUUAAAUUUAUCCAAGGAAUGCCCCGUAGAUUUUGUUUUUUUUUCCGGGGUAUGUCCCGUAGUAUCAUGUAUUUUGGAGGCCAUGGCUAACUUUUUGAAAAAGUAUAGUAUAUAUUAGUAUUUACUAAUAUAUCAGGUGGCGACUCUGAAAAUCCAUUGAAACGCAAUCUUUUUGUGAAUUUUCAUAAUUGAAAACUCUUUCAAGCUUUACAAAAUAUUUUUAUUAAUUAUAAGAGGGUUAAGUGAGGUAAAAAAGGGGGUGUGACACUAGACAUGAGUCUAAGGUGACGCCUGAGAAGGCAUUGAUGAUUGUUGCUAUUAUGGAUGACUUGCUAGUGAAUGUGGGCCAGCACAUAGUGGGCAAAAUUAAGGAAGCAUGUAACGGGAGAUCUAAGAGUCUAUUUUUUCCCUCAUUGAUCACUCAGUUGUGCUAUGAUGUUGGGGUGCUAAAGGACCCGCAUGAUUCUGAGAAGGACCCUGGCACGACAAUUUAUUCAUUGCUCAGAAAAGGGCCAACUAGCGGGAAGAAGAAGAGGAGAAUUGAUGUGUUAUCCCCUUCAUUUGGGUAGUUUACUGAGACUGUCGAUGGGUCCAGUGGUUCUUCCACAGUAUCAGCAGGACUACAUAUCCCCAUUUAUCCACUACCUUAUGGACCUCCCACUAUGUGCCACCUUUCUAGUCAAAUCUAUGGUGUCGAUGCUCACAUUCGUCAACUUGUAGCUGGCCUUCCUUCUGGUCAAUCUGGGGAGAGCACUUCUACUGGGACUGGUAAGAAGCCAUAUUUUGAUGAUGUAGUUCAGGAAUAAAAAACAAUCAAAAACAGGUUGGAAGACAUGAGCCGAAGACAAGGAAAGAUGGAGAGGCGACAGUCGAAGUUCAAGGAGCAUGAGAAAAAGAAAAGCAAAUUUCUGUCCAAAAUGAUACACAAGCUGAGUUCAAUCUUUGGCUCACAUGAAUUAGAGGAUGAUGAUGAUGAGGAUUUGGAACUCAAAUUUCCCACCACCUCCAGCUCUGAGUGAUGCAGUUUCAGGGAGCACCUCCUUCAUUUUAUCUUGUUUUGUUUAGUUGCAUUGAGGAUAAUGCAACACUUUAGGUUGGGGGUGACUCAUUUACAUGUGAUGAUGUAGUUGGAGCAUGAUUAUUUUUUGUGAUAACUUGUGUAGAUUGGUUGACGUUGUAGUUUAUUAGUGAUAAUUUGAUGUUUAAUUCUAGCAUGUUAGCAUUAGUU